GGCAUAUAAAUAUGUAAAUAUAUAAGUAAAUCAUAAUAUAUAUAUAGAAAUAAUAUACACGCAUAAAUGUAAAAAAAGGAAGUAAGGCCUACUUAUGAUAUUUUUUCUAUACGUAGAUACAUAUAUAUAUAUAAUAAUCUUUUAGACAUAAAAAAAUAAAAAAAUGAAAAAAGAAAAAAAAAUACACAAAUGAAAUAAAGAUAAUAAUAUCAACAAGAAAUAAUAAUACUGUAUAAUAAUACUAAAAUAUUUGAUUUAAUGGGGAGAAUAAGUAUAGUAGUUGAUUUAGGAUCAAAUCGAAAAGAAAACAAAAUUUUAGGGCCGUAAUUAAAGAUAAAAGAGACAAAAAAGACUAAAUUAUAACGCGGAUAAAAAGCAGAGGACCGAAUAGGAAAAUAACCCCUGUUGAUUAAACGACGCUGUUCCAACGAAGUCAAAGCGCAUGGUCUAAGGACCAAACUGAAACAGAAGCAAAAUUCGAUGCCAAAAUUGCAAAUAUAAAAAAAAACUGCAUUGAAUACGCCGCAAAGGAGGGAGGACCUAUGGCGCAAAUAACCCAUGCGCUAGAAAAAAAAAGCGGAUCCUAGGUGGUCGGGUCGGGUCAACAUGCGGAUCAUCCCCACCAAAACGACGUCGUUUCAUGUUUAAUAUAAAUAUUUAAAAAAACCAAAAAAACAAAUCAGUUUCAUUAUUUAAAAAAAAGAGAGAGAGAGCUCUCCCCUUUUCUCUCAAGCCCCAGGUCCGGCCAUGGGUUUCGGCAAUCCUUCGCAAUCGACGCCGUCGUGCCGGCCACCGUACACGGUGGCCGGAAAAUCUAAAAAGGUACUAUUUUUCCUUCUUUUUUUUAUAUGUGUAUAUACAUAUAUAUUUUACACAAAUCAAAAUAAAAAAUAAAAUAAAUAAAUAACAAUGAACAAAAAAGAUUUGGAAACUAAAACCUUUUCUCCGUUUUUAUUUCUCUUUGUUUUUUUGCUUUUUCAAAAGGAAAUCCCCCUUUUUUUUACAAACAUAAAGAUCCGCCCUCCUCCCUUUACAGAUUUUAAUGGCUUUUAUAGCCAAAUAAAAGGAUAAUAACCUAAAACCAAAAGUCUAUUCUAUUUUGUGUUCUAUUUUUAUCACUGUUACUGUUGCUGCUGUUUUGUUUGCAGGCCAUGAGUCAAUGAGGCAAGUAUUUGCCGUUUUAGUGCAAGGCUGACAAACGGUGGCAGACAUCGGGCGACAAACUAGCUACGGAGGCACGUGGGUGACGGCAGAGGGUGCGACGCAAGGCAGUAGCUAGGGUUUCUAGGUUUCUAAUUUUUUGCUGAAACUAGUUAAGGUUUUGGGCUUAUUGGGCCCUGGGUCCUUUGUAAUUUUUGGGUUUGUUUGGGUUUGAUUUGGGCCCGGGUGGAAAAUGGGUCGUACAGUAUAUAUUACAACCAUGCAUAUACGAACAUGGCAGCUUACUGAUCUUUCAGCAUUAUUAUCAAGAGUGAUAUAUGUUCUGUAAUGAAUAGAAUGAAAUUGGAGAAGGAAGAAAACCUUUACCCAUUAAAACUUUUUUACCUUCUCUUCCAAACCAAUGACUUCAGAAGCCAAUAUAUUAGCACGUUCAUCAGUUGCAUUACAUUCCAGUUGUGCAUUUGCAUAUUCC
rnacentral:lncRNA from 1 species